GGCUCGGUAGCUUAGUUGGUACAGCGCUCGUCUAGCAUACAAGAGUCCUGGGUUCAAAUCCCAGCCGAGCAC
rfam:Aedes aegypti strain Liverpool supercont1.96 genomic scaffold, whole genome shotgun sequence.